rnacentral:tRNA from 1 species
GCCUGGGUGGCUCAGUCGGUUAAGCAUCCGACUUCAGCUCUGGUCACAUUUUGUGGGUUCGAGCCCCGCGUCAGGCU